AAGUUGCAAUAUGCAAAGUAGUCCUUUGACCUGAGGCAUCAUAGAUGUUUAAUGGUUAGGUCCUUGAUCUUUGAUCAUGUCAAACGGCAUUCCAUCGGAGUGUCCACGGCAUUGUUGGGGUCAAGCUAUCUAGUCAUGUAGGCAUAUGAAUGCACAACAAGGGAUCUCUAACCUUCCAUGGUGGAAGGAGAAUACUUUAAGAUAUGAUUCUAAAGUCUUUGGCCAAAGCAUAUGAAUAUGACUUAGGAAGUUUGUUCCAAAUCAUAUUCAAGGGAAUCAUAUAGAGAUGUAUCACAAGGAUAGUAGACAUGAAACAAACUAUCACUCAAACAAUGUGAUUAAGAGUAUUGUAUUAGAGAAGGACCGUAUUGUAUUGUAUUAGAGAAGGACCGUAUUGCAUUGUAGUUGCAACUGGAUAGGUUCUCCAACCAAUUCUACUUAGCUUGGGUAACCAUGACAUACUGCUAGGUGUCACUCAUGGUUUGUGGAAGCCCUAAAUGAUUAGCAAACACUAAUCAUUAAGGGAGAAUUGAAAUGUGGUUUCAAUUUCACAAUCGAUCGUUAAGAGUAACAAUCGCCCACUACCUCGCUAAUUGGAACCUAAUGGAUCAUACACCGAGUAAGGAUGUAUGUGAGGAAAUUAAAUGAAAUGGAUAAGCAAUUAAAUGGUUUAAUUGAAGAAUGGUCAAGAUUAAUUAAUUAGUUAAUUAAUUUUACGAAAAGGUUCGUAUUGGGCUUUUAAGUUGGUUUUGGGCUUCGGGGCCUCAAAAGCGUUUUGGUCCACAAGGCCCAUUAUAUUUAAGUUGUAUGACAACUAAAACAAAAUGGGCAAUUAGCCCAAUAACAAAGGUAAGGCCGGCCAUAAGGGUGAGGGUAGGAAACUUGGAUUAAUUACAAGUUUGCCACUCACUUGAAAUGAAGUAUAAAAUCAACUUUAUAGCUUUAUUUCUACUUAGGGUUUUCUUAAAGAAAUUGGGUGAAACACUUUCUCUCAUUUUUCUCUAAAGAGGCCGGCCACUUAGGGGAGGGAUAUCUAGCAAUCUCUUCUUCCCUAAGUCAUCCAUAUUAUCUUCACAAAAUACAUCCUUGGUGUGGAGACUUAGAGACAUCAAACUUUUGGUGUUUUUGGAGAACAAAUCCUCAAAUCCUCAAAGAAUCAAAGGAGCUUGGAGGUGACUUGAAGGCCCUCCACUUGGGUGAAUCCCUUGUGUAAACAAGGAUGAGCUUCAAGGGUAAAGAAACUCUAAAUCUUUACUUCUCUUUAAUGUUGUUAAAGAGUUUAUUGGUUCACCAUAUACUAGGCUUUGAAAGUCAUGGGUUUUAUGAAUUGUUUUUGGAUGCAUGCCUACUUUAAAGUGUUUAUAGCUUGCAUAUGUAUUCAAAUGUUCAUACUUGUUCUCAGCUAGGACAAAAUUUUUCCUUCAAGUGGUAUCGGAGCCUAGGCCUAGUUUAUGGUGAAUCCUUUUGGGUUUUGCGAUUUUCAUGAUUUAUGAUUUAAAUGUUGUAAAUGUUACAAGCUUUGUUCUUGCUUUUGAAUAUAUAAAUUUUGCUAGAAAAUUUAGCAUCUCAAAUGUUGUAGAUGUAUUUCAUUUAAGCAUGAAUAUUGGAACUAAAAUUUGGUGCCAUGUAUUUUGGGAAAUUCGGCCAAAUCCUUAGGGUGAUUUUUUGGGACCCCUAAGUACCCUAGGAUAUUAGCCCUCUUUUGAGUGGUGAAAAAUUGAGUUUUGGUGAAUGAAAACAUUCAUGGAGCUAUUAUGAGUUUUCAUGGUGUUCUUCAAAUGUUCUUGAAGUUCUUGCCAAGAAAAAAAGGUUUGAAGUUUUGAUUCAAAAGUUUUAUGUUUUUCAUAAAGUUUUUGGUUUAUUAUUUUGAUGGGUGAUUGUUAUUGGUGAGAAGUGAUUAAAUGGCUUUAAUGUUUGUCAAAACUCAUAAAUGUUUUACAAAACAUUUUCUUACAAACCAUCAAUUUCACCUUUACCUCACCCACCAAAAUCAACUUGCAUAAAACCCUUUCACACUCCUUUCACACUCCAAAACCGGCCACCCCCUAGUGGGGGUACUUUUGGGGUCUUUUUAUGCAAUUACAUAGAGUUUUGAUACUUUUGUGUAUUUGCACUUUGGCCCAAAAGUUUACGUUUUUACGUUAAGGCCCUAAAAUGCUAAAGGACGAAUUGUUUUGAUCCUUUAAUGAUGUUUUUACAUUAAUAAAAUUUUGGGAUCUAGUUGUAAUUACAUGAAGUUGUGGACUAUUGUGUUUUUACAAAGUGACCCCAAAAGUUUUUUGUAUUUGCAUUAUGGCCCAAUUGUUGUGGUCAUAGUUUCCUUUUGGCCCAAAAAGGAUGAGAACAAAAAUUGUUUUGUCUCUUUAAUGAGAAUUGGAUUUUCAUUUCAUUUAGUUCCAUUUAAAUCAAUUCUAUGGAUCCAAAAACCAAUUGUUUAAGUUGAUUUCUUAGUUAAUGUGAUUGAUUAAGAAAAGGGUGAUUAUGAACCAAUGGCCACGAUAAUUGAGCUAUGUGAUUGGCCGAUUUACAUUAUGAAUGUUUGGGUUUUAGUAGUGUAGAUUUGAAUGUAAUUUGAUUAAUUCAAUUUGUUGUAAAUGGACAUAAGUCCAUCAUUUGAUUUGUGUUGUAAAAGGGCAUAAGCCCUUCUUAUUAUUUCAUGUAUUCCUUUUGUUUAUUUGUAUGCAAAAUGGAAUAGUUGGGUCCAACGCCCAAUAGGAAAUAACGGUUUAAUUGGAUUAAACGCGUAACUAAAAUCAACAACUAUCUACCUUAAACCCAAGGUCCAACACAAGGCUCGUGUUGGAUCAAAUCGAACGGUUCAUAAUCAUCCUAAAACCUAAUAUGACUAUAUAGUCCAUAUGAGGAUGCAAUGCAUUCGUUAGUAGUUCUAUAUAGUCUCGCUUGUUUCUUCGAAAUAGUGGGAGUAUUAUAAACUACUAAUUCAUAUUAACUUGGACCAAUGGUUGUGAUAGGCCCAAGUUCUUUUAAUGUGAUUAAAAUGUUUUGAUGUAGCCUAAAACUACUCCCUCAAAACGAAUAUUAAGUUGAUAAGCGAGAGAUGCUUUGAACAUCUCUUCGUAGGCCUUCCACUGUGGUGGGAUCCAAUCGUUUGUGACUCAUGCACCGGCUUCACCCUAUAAUGGGGAAAUUCAAAGUAUGUGCUUACAUCCAGGAGGAACCCAUAACAUAUGAUGAGGUGAGUGUAGACAACGAGUAUGACCAACAUGAUAUAAUUCUGAGGUUGUGCUUGAACCUCUACAUAAACUAAGCAUGGUGGGAAUGACUUAACUAAGUGCAAUGGUGCCAACAUGAUAUAAUUCUGUGAGGUAAUCAUUCUCUAGAGGCCAAACAAGAUGGGUAAUUACAAAGAGUUGUAAAUGAAUAAUGCGUUAUUCUCUCAUCAUUAUUUUUGCUAACCAACAUGAUAUAAUUCUGAGGUGGGCUUGGUAAUGGUGAGUCUCCCAUACCCCGCUAAGAGUUCAAUAUAACUCUCGAAUUCUAUUGAGGGAUGUGGAAUUUUCCAAAAAAUAGUGGGUGGUACUAUUUGAUUCAAAGACCCAAUCAAAUAGUUUUAAAACAAACAAUCUAAUACGAUUUCUGUUAUGUUAUGUAGUGAACGACAUGCCUAAAAUUAUACCCACCAUUAUACUUGACAAAAGGGGCCUUAAGGGCCAACGUUUCCUUGCUUGGUAUCGCCAUAUUGAGAAUGUCUCAAAAGUGAAAGACAUAUUGUAUGUGCUUAAGCAAUCCCCUCCUCAUGUACCUCCUACGAAACUAGCUUCAAAGGAGGAGUGUCAAAAUUAUGUUAGACACUAUGAGGAUGACUUACAAGCCAAAUGCUUAAUCCUCACUUCACUUAGUGAGGAGCUUAUGAAGCUACAUAAGCACAUGAACACUUCUUGUGCCAUGGUUGAAAAUUUGCAUAAGAUGCAUGACAUUGAGACUAGUAAUGUACGAUUCUCAAAUGUUUGUAGUCUAAUGAAUGCCAAGAUGGCAAAGGGGGCAUCGGUCCAUAAACAUGGACAAAAGAUGGAAAAGAUAUUUAAAGAUCUUUAAAAGUUUAGGAACUUCCAUCGAUGGGAAAAUGGCCCAAGACUUUUUCCUUGCAUCUCUCUCGGAUGAUUUCACUAAGUUUAUUGUAAACUAUAAAGUGAAUAGAUUCGAUCAUUCUUUGAAAGAGAUGAUUGACAUGUGCUGUAAAUUUGAAAAAGGUUUCAAAAGGGACAGUGGGAGUGAGAAUGCAAACACAAGGAAAAGGUUGCAUAAGAAGAAGGCAAAGAAAUCCAAAGGAACAUGCUUUCAUUGUGGAAAGGAUGAACGUUGGAAGAAGAAAUACAGGGUGCACAUUGCGAGCCUUAUGACACGAACUUUUGAAGAGACUAUUUCUGUCAUAGAGAGUGCUUUUACAGUGAGCUCCAAUUCCUGGAUAUUUGAUUCAGGCGCUAGUCAACAUAUUUGCAAUACGUUGCAGGGACUAGCAGGGAGCAGGUCACUGCGCAAUGGGGAGAUGGUUGUGCGAGUUGGGAACGGCACUAAAAUCUCUGCAAAAGCAAUAGGCACCUACACUCUUAACCUACCCUUUGGGGAAGUCCUGGAACUUAAAAAUUGUUUAUAUUUUCCUUCAUGUAUAAAAGAAUUUGAUUUCUAUCUCUAAGCUUUUACGAGAUGGGCACUCAGUAUUGUUUGACAAAAUGAGUUGCACUUUAUACUUGAACGGUCGUAUUAUCUCUCAUGGUAAUAUGAUAGAGGGACUUUUUCACCUAGAGAUGAAUAGUGGGACACACUGUAUUGAAAGCGGGAAUACCUCAAAACCCAAAAGGGCUAGAGAAGAAGUUAACCAAGAAAAGAUGUGGCAUCUUAAACUUGGACAUGUGAACCUUGAUAAGAUUCGCAAGAUGUCGAAAGACGGAUAUAUCCGCCCAUUAGGUAAUGACCGGAUGGGUACUUGUGAAUGUUGCUUGAAAGGGAAGAUGACCAAAUCUCCAUUUACUGGAAAAGGAGAGCGUGCCACUGAAAUUCUAGGGUUAAUCCACACUGACGUAUGUGGACCUAUGUCUACUACGUCGAGAGGAGGCUUCUCCUACUAUAUCACAUUCACCGACGAUCACUCUCGGUUUGGCUAUGUGUAUCUUAUGAAGUACAAGUCAGAAUCCUUUGAAAGGUUCAAAGAAUUCAAGAAUGAAGUUGAGAAGCAAACUGGGAAACAGAUAAAGACCCUAAGAUCGGAUCGAGGGGGUGAAUAUCUGAGUAACGAGUUCCUAGAUUAUCUCAAAGAGUGUGGAAUUGUAUCACAAUGGACUCCACCAGGAACUCCUCAACAUAACGGAGUUUCUGAGAGGAGAAACCGAACCUUGAUGAACAUGGUUCGUUCUAUGAUGAGUUCCGCUGAUCUACCAAUAUCAUUCUGGGGAUAUACACUACACACAGCAGCUUAUUUGCUAAAUACAGUGCCCUCUAAAUCUGUUCCACAAACACUAUAUGAGAUAUGGUAUGGGAAGAAGCCAAGUCUUAAACAUCUUAAGAUUUGGGGUUGUCCAGCAUAUGUUAAGAAACAAGAUGCUGGAAAGCUUGAAGCGAGAUCCGUUAAAUGCUAUUUUGUGGGGUAUCCUAAACAGACUUAUGGAUACGAAUUCUAUCACCCUGACGACCAGAAAGUCUUUGUCGCCAGAACUGCUAUAUUCAUGAGGAAGGAUGAAUUCGUUCUUAAAGGAACUAGCAAGAUAGAAUUGAAAGAAAUUAAUGAGAUUAAUGAUGAACCACAAACCAAGCACUCAACAAGUUGACAACCCUGUUCCUGAACCCCUAGCUCCACGUAGAUCUGAACGGGUUAGUAAGCCACCUAAGAGGUAUGGCUUAGACAAUGACUUUGCGGAAUUGCACGUUCUAGGUGACAAUGACACAAAGGAGGACCCUAGGGACUACACUUAAGCAAUGUCCGACAUUAAUUCAAAGAGAUGGCAAGAGGCCAUGAAAUUCGAGAUGGAUUCCAUGUAUCAAAAUCAGGUCUGGACUCUUGUAGACCCUCUAGAAGGUAUUGUACCUGUUGGAAACAAAUGGGUCUUCAAAAGGAAGAUAGGCAUUGAUGGGAACGUGGAGACUUAUAAGGCUAGACUCGUAGCCAAGGGUUACAGGCAACGAGAAAAGAUUGAUUAUGAAGAAACCUUCUCUCUUGUAGCCAUGAUUAAGUCCAUUCGGAUUUUGCUUGCUAUAGCUACGUACCAUGAUUAUGAAAUCUGGCAAAUGGACGUGAAGGCGGCCUUUCUGAACGGAUACCUAGAGGAAGAGCUCUAUAUGACUCAACCCGAAGGUUUCGUGUCCAAGUCUGAAAAGACUAAGGUAUGCAAGCUACAAAGGUCCAUUUAUGGACUUAAGCAAGCCUCCAGGAGCUGGAACAUUCGUUUCGACACUGAAAUCAGAACGUUUGGUUUUAGUCAAAACGAAGACGACAAUUGUGUUUAUCAAAAGGUCGUUGGGGAAGCAGUAGUAUUCCUAGUGUUAUAUGUAGAUGACAUAUUACUAUUCGGGAAUGACACUGCAAUACUUUCUUCUGUAAAAGUGUGGUUGUCCAAAACCUUCCACAUGAAAGAUUUAGGAGAUGCAUCUUAUGUACUUGGGAUAAAGCUCUAUCGUGAUAGAUCCAGAAGAUUAAUUGGAUUAUCCCAAUCUAUGUACAUUGAUAAGGUGCUAAGUAGGUUCCAGAUGGAACAAUCUAAGAAAAGUUUUCUUCCUGUUAGACAUGGAAUUCACCUUUCUAAGUCCAUGGAACCUAAGACUCCUGAAGAGAUACGGCAAAUGAAUGCUAUUCCUUAUGCUUUUGCCACAGGGAGUCUCAUGUAUGCCAUGAUAUGCACAAGGCCUGAUAUAGCAUAUGCUGUGAGCAUUACCUAACCCAGGACCAGAACACUGGGCAGCUGUCAAGACGGUCCUUAAGUACUUAAGAAGAACUAAGGACAUGUUCCUCGUAUAUGGAGGAGCGGUUCCAACCAUUACAUCACUAGUAACUUUGUACUGUGAUAAUAGUGGGGCGAUAGCUCAAGCUAAGGAACCCAGGGCACAUCAAAAGAACAAGCAUUUUGACAGGCGCUUUAAUAUCAUUAGAAGAUAUGCUGCCGAUGGGAAAGUCAACAUCCUCAAAGUUGCUUCAGCCGAUAAUGUAGCAGAUCCACUGACAAAUCCAAUGUCUUAAAUCCAGCUUGACCGUCAUAUGGAAAAGAUGGGUAUUAGAUACAUGGAAGGAUGGCUUUGAAUGCAAGUGGGAGAUUGUUGGAAGUAUGCCCACAAAGCCACUCAUUUGAUGUAAUAGCUUUUUGGAAUACUUAAUGUAUUAAACUUUUAUAUGUUUAAUGGAGGGCAAAGCUUAUUGUUAAUCACUAUUUAUUGUAUCAUGUGUUUAAGCAAUAAGGGAAUCCAAGGAAUGUAUUUGAUCUAAGAGACAAGUGAUCUAAGUAAGUUAGAUUAUUGAGACCAUUCUCUUAUGUUCAUUCCUAAAACGUUCCUAGCCAUAGGAUUGCCAAUUGGGCAUUGACAAUCCGCUAAGGUUAGUAUGUGUUAUGUUGACUCAAGCGUGAGUAUGACUAGUCUCAAGUCAUUUGGUGUUGGACACUAAGACAAACACAUAGGUGCUCGAAAGAGUAAUCGACUACACUGAACUACGAUCAAAAGAGAUUUCGAACAUACAUGUCAUGUAUGAACUCUAAAGUUGCAAUAUGCAAAGUAGUCCUUUGACCUGAGGCAUCAUAGAUGUUUAAUGGUUAGGUCCUUGAUCUUUGAUCAUGUCAAACGGCAUUCCAUCGGAGUGUCCACGGCAUUGUUGGGGUUAAGCUAUCUAGUCAUGUAGGAAUAAGAAUGCACAACAAGGGAUCUUUAACCUUCCAUGGUGGAAGGAGAAUACUCUAAGAUAUGAUUCUAAAGUCUUUGGCCAAAGCAUAUGAAUAUGA
rnacentral:lncRNA from 1 species